rnacentral:rRNA from 1 species
GGUUGAUCCUGCCAGUAGUCAUAUGCUUGUCUCAAAGAUUAAGCCAUGCAUGUCUCAGUACAAGCCUAAUUAAGGUGAAACCGCGAAAGGCUCAUUAAAUCAGUUAUGGUUCCUUAGAUCGUACCCACAUUUACUUGGAUAACUGUGGUAAUUCUAGAGCUAAUACAUGCAAACAGAGCUCCGACCGGAGACGGAAGGAGCGCUUUUAUUAGAUCAAAACCAAUCGGUGGCGGGUCUCGCGCCCAUUGUCGUACAACUUGGUGACUCUGAAUAACUUUACGCAGAUCGCACGGUCUCGCACCGGCGACGCAUCUUUCAAAUGUCUGCCUUAUCAACUGUCGAUGGUAGGUUCUGCGCCUACCAUGGUUGUAACGGGUAACGGGGAAUCAGGGUUCGAUUCCGGAGAGGGAGCCUGAGAAACGGCUACCACAUCCAAGGAAGGCAGCAGGCGCGCAAAUUACCCACUCCCGGCACGGGGAGGUAGUGACGAAAAAUAACGAUACGGGACUCAUCCGAGGCCCCGUAAUCGGAAUGAGUACGCUCUAAACCCUUUAACGAGGACCAAUUGGAGGGCAAGUCUGGUGCCAGCAGCCGCGGUAAUUCCAGCUCCAAUAGCGUAUAUUAAAGUUGUUGCGGGUU